rnacentral:rRNA from 1 species
UACGUAGGGUGCGAGCGUUAAUCGGAAUACUGGGCGUAAAGCGUGCGCAGGCGGUUCGUUAUGUCCGAUGUGAAAGCCCCGAGCUCAACUUGGGAAUGGCAUUGGAAACUGGCGGGCUGGAGUGUGGCAGAGGGGGGUGGAAUUCCACGUGUAGCAGUGAAAUGCGUAGAGAUGUGGAGGAACACCGAUGGCGAAGGCAGCCCCCUGGGCCAACACUGACGCUCAGGCACGAAAGCGUGGGGAGCAAACAGG